GAAGACAGCUGGGAACUUAACUGUCAUUGACUGGGGUUAUCAUCGUUCAUCAUGACUUCAUGUACCUUUAAUUCAUGGAGACUCCUCAAUCUUGUCAUUUGAUGAGCAACAUCACAUAGCUGGAUCAAUGACAUAUUGUGUAAAUUAUUUGCUCCUCUCAGGCAAAAAAAUGAACGUUUCUGGCAACUGGCAAACCAUGCUAGUUACCCGUCUCGCUGUCUCUGUUGCUCGGGCCCUACCUGUGCAGUCCGCAGUAGUUCCGCUGCCCUCUCGCGGACCUCCUGUAAGGGGCAGGACCGGGAGACCCGCAGCAGCUGCAGGAGAGUGUGUUUAUCGAGACGAGCAGAACCGGGUCGGUCCAGACCCAACCGGGACAUGACGCUCUGGGUGUGUGUUCAAUUGGGGAAAAAGUUGGAAAAUGGCACCGACAGAGAGGGCUGCCGCGCUUCUAGCUCUUAGGGCAAUUGAACUGAUUCCAGAGGCCGAUCCAAAACAACGUUGGCAGAGUAGAGGUACUCCG